UGAUAUAUCCGACUCAGCCUUAACGUCA
rnacentral:sRNA from 1 species